GAUGAACGCUGGCGGCGUGCCUAAUACAUGCAAGUCGAGCGAACGGACGAGAAGCUUGCUUCUCUGAUGUUAGCGGCGGACGGGUGAGUAACACGUGGAUAGCCUACCUAUACGACUGGGAUAACUUCGGCAAACCGGAGCUAAUACCGGAUAAUAUUUUGAACCGCAUGGUGCAAAAGUGAAAGACGGUCUUGCUGUCACUUAUAGAUGGAUCCGCGCUGCAUUAGCUAGUUGGUAAGGUAACGGCUUACCAAGGCAACGAUGCAUAGCCGACCUGAGAGCGAGGUCGCCUAGAUGGGAAGUGAGAAACGGUCGAGACUCCGACAGUAGGCCGCAGUAGGGAAUCUUACGCGAUGGGCGAGUGCCUGACAGAGCACAGCGGCGUGAGUGAUGAACGUCUUCGGAUCGUAGAGCUCUGUUAUUAGUGAAGAAGAAAUGUGUAAGUAACUGUGCACAUCUUGACGGUACCUAAUCAGAAAGCCACGGCUAACUACGUG
rnacentral:rRNA from 1 species